ACAGCUAGCCGGAGAGUGAGGCUGAAGACAAUAGGACCCACCCACUGUACGCACCUUGGGAAUCAGGGCUCCCAGCGUGGACGUGGUAUCUUUUGUUCCUUAUGCAUCAAUGUUCACCAAAUGAAAGGAUUCUGAACACUUAUAAUGAGGAAAAAGAAUUAUCCCCAUUUCACAGAUGAAGAAACUGGAGCUCAGAGAGGGCAACAGAGUUACCUAACAUCACACAGCAAG